rnacentral:tRNA from 1 species
AUAGCUCAGUGGUGCAGCACUUGCCUCACAUGCAAGGGGCUCUGGGCUCAAUCCCCAGU